GAAGGAAUGAAGGUAUUGUCAUAAAAUAAGAUAAGCAGCCUCAGAAUCCCUCUGCAGUUCCCUCUCAAAAGCCACAGAACAGUUUACCUCUCCAUUUCAAGCAGUAACAGUUUCCUUUCAGCUUACAUAUUUUAUUACAGUAUACAGCCAGUCCUGGAAAGGGUAGCCAGGGAGGUUGUGUCAUCAGAGAGAAAUCAGGUCUUCAUGAUAGCCAGAAGAUGGAAAGAGUAAGAAGCGAAAAGAUUUACAAUGAAAUCAAGUUUAUUUUCUACGAUUUAGGCAGUCCAGAGGACUCAAUGAAAAGGAGAGAGGCAAAUGAAGGCAUUCUUGAUCUCCUGAAAGAUAACCUCCUCUUGCCAUAUAACUUGGAAGCUUUUAGCUUUUGUAUGAACUAUGGAUCCCUUGUAUUAUAAAUCUCUGCUGGAAUGGAAUCAUCACCAUGUAUUUUGCCACAUAAGAGGAGCCUAAUGGAAUUCAAAAUCACUUCAAUAUUUGAAGUUCAGCCACAGAGGGAUUGACCUCAACAUGAGAUAUACAAUCAAUGAUUUCAAUAUUGGUUGAUGACAUCCUAUAGAGAACACGAUGGGAGUAUUCAGCCUAAUAUCCUUAUCACUGAUCAGUGUGACUCCAUUUAACAUUGAGUAGGUGAAAUAUGCCAUAGGUUAGGGUUAAGGUUAGAGUUAGGGUUAGGGUUUAGGGUUAAUUGCUUUCAGAACAUCAUAGAAACAUUCUAGAUUGUUAAUCAGACUGAAUUUCAUCUGCCUUCUUACUGAGCCAAGGAUCCUACAUCUUUCUAAGCUUUGUUCUUAGAGACAGAUGAACUAUCCUGCUGGCAAACCCUAUGAGUUCUUGUUUUUCAUUUAGUAGCUUCUGAAUUUUCCCUUUAUUUUUAUUAAACCAAUUGUAAUGUCUGAGAAUAUACUUGCCUAGAUGAGUAAAUGUGGGGCUGUAUAACAAAUUUCUGAAAAUUGCCCUUUCCUUUUCUGCUCCAAUGUUGUCAUACUUGUGUUGACUCAGUUUUCCUUCCAAGUCACAAAUUGUUUGAGAAUGGAGACACUCUCUCAUUUGUUCACAUUGUCUUCUGGUAGUUGUAUUGCUUUGAGACCACCACUUUCAUUGAAUGUAAAUGUUAACUUUGAGAAAAUAAGUGUAUGAUCUGUCCAACACUCUGCACUACACAAAGUCUUUAUUACUCUCACAUCCUAUCUGUCUUUUCUCCUUGCAAAGACAUAUUCAAUAAAUACCAGUUUGUUGCAAGAGUGAA
rnacentral:lncRNA from 1 species